GGAUGGCAUCCAGGUCUCCUUACCUAUCCUGGAGCACAGAAAGAAGAAAACCAGAUGAACAGGAGCCAAACACCCUCUCUUUUCCUCCAGCAAUACCCCACAAUUGUUUGAGGAGGCAGGCAAGGCCAUAGAGUCAUGCAGCUGACCUUGCGGGUGGGCCUCCAACUUCUCCCCUGGCUGGUUAGGAAAAGCCUGCCUGUGACUUUUUCCUCUGCCGGAGUGAGGCUGCCCAGUUUCAAUUUCCCUGCUCUGGGCAGGCUGGAGAGGGCUCCUAGGAGGUGAAGGGGACUACGUAUGCCCCAGGCAGAGAGGUCGCCACAGCUUCCCUGCCUUGUCCCAGCCGAUUGUGCGGCGGAGCAGGCGCGCGGCCACAGCUCUCCCC
rnacentral:lncRNA from 1 species